AUGAGGCUGUCACAUUUUUUGUUCUGCUGCAAGAUGAUUUUGCAACUUAUGAACAUGGCGAACAAGAGCCUACAGUUGUUAACAAGCCCGGAAUGUCCCCAUCUCGUCUCAAUCAUCAUUUUUCAUGUUGCUAUUCCUGCAUCCAGGGGGGAGUACGUUAGAUGGAAUAAUUUCUUGGAUGUAUUACCCUAUCCCCAGGGUUUGGGACCCCUUUUGACGGGUCAAUGGAAUCUUAUGACCAUAUUUUUCAACUUUGCUCAUUAUUGCUCCUCGGCAGUUUGCUGUGUUUGGUUUGAACCUAGGUAUAAUAGACAAAACGUCUCAAAGGAUGAUUUGGGGAUCCAUUGGGUGUUUUUAAUUUGA
rnacentral:rRNA from 1 species